GACGAACGCUGGCGGCGUGCUUAACACAUGCAAGUCGAGCGGAAAGGCCCUUUCGGGGGUACUCGAGCGGCGAACGGGUGAGUAACACGUGAGUAAUCUGCCCUGGACUCUGGGAUAGCCACCGGAAACGGUGAUUAAUACCGGAUAUGACACCUUGCUGCAUGGUGGGGUGUGGAAAGUUUCUUCGGUCCAGGAUGUGCUCGCGGCCUAUCAGCUUGUUGGUGAGGUAAUGGCUCACCAAGGCUUUGACGGGUAGCCGGCCUGAGAGGGUGACCGGUCACACUGGGACUGAGACACGGCCCAGACUCCUACGGGAGGCAGCAGUGGGGAAUAUUGGACAAUGGGCGGAAGCCUGAUCCAGCAACGCCGCGUGAGGGAUGACGGCCUUCGGGUUGUAAACCUCUUUCAGUACCGACGAAGCGCAAGUGACGGUAGGUACAGAAGAAGCACCGGCCAACUACGUGCCAGCCGCCGCUGUAAGAC
rnacentral:rRNA from 1 species